rnacentral:miRNA from 1 species
AGAUAUCCAGUUAAAUCUGAAUUUCAGAUAUAUGAUGAAUAAUUGAUUUAGUAUAACCAUGUGCCAUGUAAUACUUGGGACAUAUUUAUACUAAAAAAUAUUCCUAGUUAUAUUUGAAAUGCAAAUUUAAGUAGGUAUUUUCUAGUA